UUUUAUACAUCGUUGUGUUAGCUUAUCAUUCAUUAGCUUUAGUAUUCACACUGAGUACUUUUCAAAUAAACACGGUAAUAAUAAUGCUAUUCUUGGUCAAUACAUCACUCAGUGCAAACUUAGACGCCCAGGUCUUACCACAUGAUAUCGCGCGACCACAACGAGGCGGAAUAAGGCAACAAGUUCGAUAAGCUUCGUCUGAACUGAUGAGUGGGAAGAUCAGACGACAUCGUAUGAUUGCUGCGUUAGCGUAUUGCAGAAUAGAGACACGAACGCCAAUUUGUCCUUGAAAACCGAACAUGCGGUGACUGAUAACGACGGUAGAGACUGAACUCAGUAAACAUCGUUGCACAGCGUGCAAGCAGUUGCACUCCAGCUUAUAAGUAAAUGAUUCUUUGGACCGCGGCUCAACAUAUUUAUCUUAUAAAGACAGGCAUUGGGACUUUUCCACUGCCAUUUUUGGAAGUUGAAUUACACCGAAAAAAGCCAUGUGGCUCUCUUGAAUGUAUUCAACAUAUGCGAAAGAUGGCAAAUAACCAAUUCAGUUUUUCGAAAUCGAUGGUAAAGAGCCAAUACGAAACAAUGAAGUGAAUAACCGGUA